UACGGAGGGAGCGAGCGUUGUCCGAAGUUACUGGGCGUAAAGCGCGCGUAGGCGGGAAAUUAAGUGAGAAGUGAAAGGCUGGGGCUUAACCCCAUGCAGUGCUCCUCAUACUGGUUUUCUUGAGGGUGGUAGAGAGAAGUGGAAUGGCUGGUGUAGCGGUGAAAUGCGUAGAUAUCUGAAGGAACAUCAGUGGCGAAAGCGACUUCCUGGACCAAUACUGACGCUCAUGUGCGAAAGCGUGGGGAGCAAACAGG
rnacentral:rRNA from 1 species